UAAAUUUUUUUUUACAGAAGAUAUUUGUUCAUCUUUCAAUCUAAUCGGAACAAAAUCAUCUCUUCAUCUCUUCAUCUUCCAACCACCGACAAUCUCGAAAGCACCACAACCGCUCUCCUCCGUACGACUGCGCCGCCAACUGUUCUCCUCCCUACUAUCGCACCGUCUAUCUCCCUCCACCCUCGUUUUCACACCGUGACUCAAAUCACUCGCUUUCCCUCUUCUCUUUUCUUCCAGUUUAGAACCCUAAACUUUUCCCUCUUCUCUCGCUUUCACUCUUUUUCUAUUCUAUUUAAAUUAGAACCCUAAAUCUCAUUUGUCCUCCAACAACAACAACGUCUCUACACCUCUGAGCAGUUUGAAUAUCAAGGAGGCGGAGCGAGGAAGAAGAUGAAGAAGGAGGCGGAGCGAGGAAGAAGAAGAUGAAGAAGGAGGCGGAGCGAUGAAGAUGAAUGACAAUAAUAGUGGGUAUCAAGGAGAGUGAUCGGCGCAUUCUGAUGGUGUGGCAAUUUUUUCAAUGUACCAGGAUUUUGGAUUUUCCAAUGAAUUUGAAUAUUUCCUUGAUCAUUUUCAGGUGCUAGAAUUGAAGAGAGGUGAAAAGGGUCAACAAAGAAACCAAUAUAUCGGUCAAAAUAAACUUGGAUGGAAAUGGGAUUUCUGAUUCUAGUUCUAGAAUUCCCUUCCUUUUAUCAUAUGCUUGAUGUACUGGUGUAGCAGCUGAAGUGCAAAUGAUAUAUAGCACUUUAUAUGUAAAAGAAUAUGAAAGAACUAGGCAUUGGUGCUGGUUAUCUGUUCCACCGAGUUAUUUUCUAGAUCAGUUAACUGACUUGACAUUGAUUCUGUCAAGCUGAUAUAUAGCUAUGCAAUCGGGGUUUUACUUCCACUUUGAUGACCAUUUCCGUGUAGUGUACUUUAUCAGUAUACCUUAUCAGUUGUUACCAUAUCAGUGUACCUGAAAUUGCACUCAUACACAAACUAGCUAACUGAAAUAAUAUAGUGUGCCUUAUCAGUAUACCACAAUAUUACAAAACAUAAAGAUAUGUCCAUAUUAGAAUAAAGAUAUGUCCAUAUUAGAAUUUUCCAUGUCUCAAAUGUUAACACAACUAGCGAGUAACCUGUGCUUCGCACGGGUGGAUUAAACUUAAAGGCAAACUUAAAUAAAAAUUUAAGAAAUAAUAUGUGAACAAUGAAAAUACAAAAGUCAAAACAAAUAUAAAAAAUCAAUCCAAUAUACCACCAAGACUUGAGAUACCUUGAUUGUCAUAUGCUUUGCUUUGGUUUGGUUUAGGUCACAAAAAUAAAAGAAAUAUAGUUAACAUCACUUUAGUCUUGAUUUACAAACAUAAAAUCCUUUUUGAAAACCUUUUAAGUUAGUAAUUAUCUCGAAUAAUAUUAGAAGGGUCACAAGCAAAUUAAGAUAUUCAACCCAAUUACCCAAAAAAGUACACUAAAAAGAAAGAGCCUAACAAAAAAAAAGACAAAUUAACUUGGUUAGAAACAAUUUUUAUUUACUUAAAAGACAAAUUAUACAAGAUGUAAUUAUAAGGAGUGAAAAUUACAAGCCUGCAUAAUAUAGCAAGGAGCACCACGUGAAAUCCUAAUACAAUGAAACUAAAGAAAGACAAAUCCCACAAAUAGGAAAAACCAAUGCAAAAGAUCAAAACAAAAACAAAGAUUUCAAUAUCCUAAUAACACCACCACAGACACGACAACAGCACCACCAGUUACUCAUCACAGUACCUAAUACCAGAAAGAUAUUCGUCUCACUCAUUAUAUUGUGCUGCUCAGAAUCACAAUUGAAAUUCCUCAUAUUUGCAGGAGUAUCAAAAGUGAAUUCCACGUGAGAUGAUGGUGGAUUCAAUCUUGCUUCCUCUUGUACCUUCUCUUGAGCAGAGACAGUUGCAAACUUUGAUGCUAGCUUUUCUCGUGUCCUCUCCAGAAAAGCUUUCUCCUUCUUCUUCUAAUCUAAAGAUUCAACAGAUGAUUGUAUCGCCUCAAGUUCAUCCAUAGUAUUACCAAGAUUCACUUUGGCUUGUUUCAACUCCAUUAAAAUCAUAACAUGUGAUGACAUAGCCGAAGAAUACACAGUAUAAUGCUGCCAUGAUUGGCAAAGGUAUCGAAGCAAAAAAUGCUCCAAAUUUUCCUGGUUCAAAGGGAAAGUAUGAAGCAUGAGAUAUCACUAAAUUUAUGUAACAAAGAGAAUAUCAAGUUACACAGAUUAUAAAAUAUGCUAAAAUUAUGAAAUGGUGUUGCGCAGAGAUUGUUAGUCUAGCAUACCAAAUACAGAGACAAAAAUCAUAAAACCAUCUGAUAUUGCCAAUAAUCCAGCAUUUUCCUUUACACAUUUACACUUAAAUUUGAACUUUGAUUCUCUUCUUUACUUAGUUGAAUUAUCACAUCCGUAUUAUUCACAGAACACGGACUCACGAGUCACGAUCACGGCACAAGGUUAAGAGAACAAGAUCCACAUGGUCACUUGUUUGGAUGUGAAUCAGACAUAAACAAAAGGUUUGACAAAAAAAUAAACAAAA